rnacentral:tRNA from 1 species
AUUUAUAUAGUUUACCAUAAAACAUUACAUUUUCACUGUAAAAAUAAAAAAAUAUUUUUUAUAAAUA